AAACUCCUGUUGUUGAGGAAGAUAAUGACGGUACUCAACAAAGCAGUGACGGCUAACUACGUGCCAGCAGCCGCGGUAAAACGUAGGUCACAAGCGUUGUCCGGAAUUACUGGGUGUAAAGGGAGCGCAGGCGGGAAGACAAGUUGGAAGUGAAAUCCAUGGGCUCAACCCAUGAACUGCUUUCAAAACUGUUUUUCUUGAGUAGUGCAGAGGUAGGCGGAAUUCCCGGUGUAGCGGUGGAAUGCGUAGAUAUCGGGAGGAACACCAGUGGCGAAGGCGGCCUACUGGGCACCAACUGACGCUGAGGCUCGAAAGUGUGGGUAGCAAACAGGAUUAGAUACCCUGGUAGUCCACACCGUAAACGAUGAUUACUAGGUGUUGGAGGAUUGACCCCUUCAGUGCCGCAGUUAACACAAUAAGUAAUCCACCUGGGGAGUACGACCGCAAGGUUGAAACUCAAAGGAAUUGACGGGGGCCCGCACAAGCAGUGGAGUAUGUGGUUUAAUUCGACGCAACGCGAAGAACCUUACCAAGUCUUGACAUCCCUUGACGAUGCUGGAAACAGUAUUUCUCUUCGGAGCAAGGAGACAGGUGGUGCAUGGUUGUCGUCAGCUCGUGUCGUGAGAUGUUGGGUUAAGUCCCGCAACGAGCGCAACCCUUAUGGUCAGUUACUACGCAAGAGGACUCUGGCCAGACUGCCGUUGACAAA
rnacentral:rRNA from 1 species